rnacentral:rRNA from 1 species
UCCUACGGGAGGCAGCAGUAGGGAAUAUUGGACAAUGGGCGAAAGCCUGAUGGAGCAAUGCCCGUGAGUGAAGAAGGUUUUCGGACCGUAAAACUCUGUUGUUGAAGAAGAACAUGCGUGAGAGUAACUGUUCACGUACUGACGGUAUUCAACCAGAAAGUCACGGCUAACUACGUGCCAGCAGCCGCGGUAAUA